rnacentral:rRNA from 1 species
UGCGGAGGAUCAUUAAUGAAAUUAUAAUCCGGCGAGGGGAAAGGCGGAGAGUUGUAGCUGGCCUCUAGGGGCAUGUGCACGCUCUCUUCCGGACCUUUCGCCGUAUGGGCGCGGGGCGACCCGCGUCUUCAUAUACCUCUUCGUGUAGAAAGUCUUUGAAUGUUUUACCAUCAUCGAGUCGCGACUUCUAGGAGACGCGAUUCUUUGAGAAAAAAGUUAUUACAACUUUCAGCAACGGAUCUCUUGGCUCUCGCAUCGAUGAAGAACGCAGCGAAUCGCGAUAUGUAAUGUGAAUUGCAGAUCUACAGUGAAUCAUCGAAUCUUUGAACGCACCUUGCGCUCCUCGGUGUUCCGAGGAGCAUGCCUGUUUGAGUGUCAGUAAAUUCUCAACCCCUCUCGAUUUGCUUCGAGCGGGUGCUUGGAUGUUGGGGGCUGCCGGAGACACUGGAUUCGUCCAGGACUCGGGCUCCUCUUAAAUGAAUCGGCUCGCGGUCGACUUUCGACUUUGCAUGACAAGGCCUUUGGCGUGAUAAUGAUCGCCGUUCGCCGAAGUGCAAGACAGAAUGGUCCCGUGCCUCUAAUGCGUCGACGCCUCUAGGGGCGUCUUCCUCAUUGACGUUUGACCUCAAAUCAGGUAGGACUACCCGCUGAACUUAAGCAUAUCAAUAAGCGGAGG